rnacentral:lncRNA from 1 species
UCAGCAGAAGCUUUAUUUCAACAAAUCAGUUUCUCAAGCAAAUCUCAUCAAGUUCAUCUCUUCUUCUUCUUGAACCAGACUCAUCAAUGGAAACCCCUCUCUUUUUCUAUCCAAUCCAACACCAACUAUCAGUCCUUAAAAAAUUCUCCAUGUCCAUCUCUAACCAAUAGUCCAUUAGCGAGAUCUGGGAUUGAAUCGGUUGCACUCACACUGGCAACGUCCUCAAAGAGCCACCUGUACCAUGCUAACGACAUCCUCUUCGUCUUUGUUAUCUGCUUCUAUAAGAUCCACUAAUGACAACUGAUCGAUGUUAAAGUCAUGGACUUGCGGUCUUCUUUAUGAAGCAUCACCGAAGACUGUAACUCUACUAUAGAGAUCCGGCUGUACUCACGCUAGUUGGGAUCCUUUUUGUCCAAAAUCAAAUUCUGCACUAACUUUGUGGGUUCUCAAUUAAAGUAGUGGCUACUUUAUAAUCGAAGGAGAUGUUGUUAAGGGAAUAUGGAACUUUUAGUGGGCAUGAGACAUUUUUAAGAGAAAUACAGUUUAU